AGUGAACGCUGGCGGUAGGCCUAACACAUGCAAGUCGAACGGCAGCACAGUAAGAGCUUGCUCUUACGGGUGGCGAGUGGCGGACGGGUGAGGAAUACAUCGGAAUCUACUUUUUCGUGGGGGAUAACGUAGGGAAACUUACGCUAAUACCGCAUACGACCUACGGGUGAAAGCAGGGGAUCUUCGGACCUUGCGCGAUUGAAUGAGCCGAUGUCGGAUUAGCUAGUUGGCGGGGUAAAGGCCCACCAAGGCGACGAUCCGUAGCUGGUCUGAGAGGAUGAUCAGCCACACUGGAACUGAGACACGGUCCAGACUCCUACGGGAGGCAGCAGUGGGGAAUAUUGGACAAUGGGCGCAAGCCUGAUCCAGCCAUACCGCGUGGGUGAAGAAGGACUUCGGGUUGUAAAGCACUUUUGUUGGGAAAGAAAAGCAGCAGGUUAAUACCCCGCUGUUCUGACGGUACCAAAAGAAUAAGCACCGGCUAACUUCGUG
rnacentral:rRNA from 1 species